rnacentral:rRNA from 1 species
AUGAACGCUGGCGGCGUGCCUAAUACCUGCAAGUCGAGCGAACGGACGAGAAGCUUGCUUCUCUGAUGUUAGCGGCGGACGGGCGAGUAACACGUGGAUAACCUACCUAUAAGACUGGGAUAACUUCGGGAAACCGGAGCUAAUACCGGAUAAUAUUUUGAACCGCAUGGUUCAAAAGUGAAAGACGGUCUUGCUGUCACUUAUAGAUGGAUCCGCGCUGCAUUAGCUAGUUGGUAAGGUAACGGCUUACCAAGGCAACGAUGCAUAGCCGACCUGAGAGGGUGAUCGGCCACACUGGAACUGAGACACGGUCCAGACUCCUACGGGAGGCAGCAGUAGGGAAUCUUCCGCAAUGGGCGAAAGCCUGACGGAGCAACGCCGCGUGAGUGAUGAAGGUCUUCGGAUCGUAAAACUCUGUUAUUAGGGAAGAACAUAUGUGUAAGUAACUGUGCACAUCUUGACGGUACCUAAUCAGAAAGCCACGGCUAACUACGUG